rnacentral:misc_RNA from 1 species
AUUAUCUAAUACAUUAGUCUAAUAGCUCAAUGGAGAUCGCUUACAGCUUGAACGCUUUGUAAUUGCAGUUACAAUUAACAUUGUCGCCUCUUUAUCACCGGUGCUGUGAUUUUUCCUAUUCAUGUAAACGUAAUCGACCAUACGACGGUAUUAAUACAAAACCUUAAAGGAGUAUUCCAUCUACAUGGAGUCUCAACCCAAAGUGUAUUUUCCCACGUCGGUUCAUCCCCUUAUUAUUACGUCAAAAGUCAAAACUGCAGAUUGUGAAGAGCUCGCCGGCCCGCAGUGCGCGCGCCAGCUCUAUGGCAUCGCUGUCGGUCCGCGGUCGUCCUGACAGCCUCGAUCUCAAUCACCGAUGUCGUUUGCAUCUCGACGUUCUCUUCACUUCACUCUGUCUUUCUUACGAUGACCUUAUUUUAAGACAAUAAAUAUAAUUAUUUAGCACUC